rnacentral:rRNA from 1 species
AACGCGAAGAACCUUACCUGGGCUCGAAAUGCUAAGGACCAGCUUAUGAAAGUAGGCCUUCCCGCAAGGGACCUUAGUAUAGGUGCUGCAUGGCUGUCGUCAGCUCGUGUCGUGAGAUGUUGGGUUAAGUCCCGCAACGAGCGCAACCCUUACUCAUAGUUGCUACCCGCAAGGGAGAACUCUAUGAGGACUGCUCCGGAUAACGGAGAGGAAGGUGGGGAUGAGGUCAAGUCAGCAUGGCCUUUAUGUCCAGGGCUACACACGUGUUACAAUGCGCGCCACAAAGCGUUGCAAACCCGCGAGGGGGAGCUAAUCGCAAAAAAGCGCGCUCAGUUCGGAUUGCAGUCUGCAACUCGACUGCAUGAAGCCGGAAUCGCUAGUAAUGGCGCAUCAGAACGGCGCCGUGAAUACGUUCCCGGGCCUUGUACACACCGACGCGUA